GAGUAACACGUGGAUAACCUACCUAUAAGACUGGGAUAACUUCGGGAAACCCGAGCUAAUACCGGAUAAUAUUUUGAACCGCAUGGUUCAAAAGUGAAAGACGGUCUUGCUGUCACUUAUAGAUGGAUCCGCGCUGCAUUAGCUAGUUGGUAAGGUAACGGCUUACCAAGGCAACGAUGCAUAGCCGACCUGAGAGGGUGAUCGGCCACACUGGAACUGAGACACGGUCCAGACUCCUACGGGAGGCAGCAGUAGGGAAUCUUCCGCAAUGGGCGAAAGCCUGACGGAGCAACGCCGCGUGAGUGAUGAAGGUCUUCGGAUCGUAAAACUCUGUUAUUAGGGAAGAACAUAUGUGUAAGUAACUGUGCACAUCUUGACGGUACCUAAUCAGAAAGCCACGGCUAACUACGUGCCAGCAGCCGCGGUAAUACGUAGGUGGCAAGCGUUAUCCGGAAUUAUUGGGCGUAAAGCGCGCGUAGGCGGUUUUUUAAGUCUGAUGUGAAAGCCCACGGCUCAACCGUGGAGGGUCAUUGGAAACUGGAAAACUUGAGUGCAGAAGAGGAAAGUGGAAUUCCAUGUGUAGCGGUGAAAUGCGCAGAGAUAUGGAGGAACACCAGUGGCGAAGGCGACUUUCUGGUCUGUAACUGACGCUGAUGUGCGAAAGCGUGGGGAUCAAACAGGAUUAGAUACCCUGGUAGUCCACGCCGUAAACGAUGAGUGCUAAGUGUUAGGGGGUUUCCGCCCCUUAGUGCUGCAGCUAACGCAUUAAGCACUCCGCCUGGGGAGUACGACCGCAAGGUUGAAACUCAAAGGAAUUGACGGC
rnacentral:rRNA from 1 species